rnacentral:rRNA from 1 species
AGGACGAACGCUGGCGGCGUGCCUAACACAUGCAAGUCGAGCGGGGACAUGGAAGUAGCAAUACGGAAAUGUCUAGCGGCGGACGGGUGAGUAACGCGUGAGCAACCUGUCCCAGUCAGGGGGAUAACGAGCCGAAAGGCUCCCUAAUACCGCAUGAGACCACAGCAUCACAUGGUGCAGGGGUCAAAGGAGAGAUCCGGACUGGGGUGGGCUCGCGUCUGAUUAGCUAGUUGGUGAGGUAAAGGCCCACCAAGGCGACGAUCAGUAGCCGACCUGAGAGGGUGAUCGGCCACAUUGGAACUGAGACACGGUCCAAACUCCUACGGGAGGCAGCAGUGGGGAAUAUUGGGCAAUGGGGGGAAAAACCCCUGACCCAGCAACGCCGCGUGAAGGAAGAAGGUCUUCGGAUCGUAAACUUCUAUCCUUGGUGAAGAUAAUGACGGUAGCCGAGAAGGAAGCCCCGGCUAACUACGUGCCAGCCGCCGC